AGUGAACGCUGGCGGUAGGCCUAACACAUGCAAGUCGAACGGCAGCACAGUAAGAGCUUGCUCUUACGGGUGGCGAGUGGCGGCCGGGUGAGGAAUACACCGGAAUCUCCUUUUUCGUGGGGGUUAACGUAGGGAACCUUCCCCUAAUCCCCCAUACGCCCUCCGGGUGAAAGCAGGGGUUCUUCGGCCCUUGCGCGAUUGAAUGAGCCGAUGUCGGAUUAGCUAGUUGGCGGGGUAAAGGCCCACCAAGGCGACGAUCCGUAGCUGGUCUGAGAGGAUGAUCAGCCACACUGGAACUGAGACACGGUCCAGACUCCUACGGGAGGCAGCAGUGGGGAAUAUUGGACAAUGGGCGCAAGCCUGAUCCAGCCAUACCGCGUGGGUGAAGAAGGCCUUCGGGUUGUAAAGCCCUUUUGUUGGGAAAGAAAAGCAGCAGGUUAAUACCCCGCUGUUCUGACGGUACCCAAAGAAUAAGCACCGGCUAACUUCGUG
rnacentral:rRNA from 1 species